AGCACGUCAUGGUGGGCACUCUAAGGAGACUGCCGGUGACAAACCGGAGGAAGGUGGGGAUGACGUCAAGUCAUCAUGGCCCUUACGGCCUGGGCUACACACGUGCUACAAUGGUCGGUACAAAGGGUUGCCAAGCCGCGAGGUGGAGCUAAUCCCAUAAAACCGAUCGUAGUCCGGAUCGCAGUCUGCAACUCGACUGCGUGAAGUCGGAAUCGCUAGUAAUCGUGAAUCAGAAUGUCACGGUGAAUACGUUCCCGGGC
rnacentral:rRNA from 1 species